UACAGAGGUGGCAAGCGUUGUUCGGAAUUACUGGGCGUAAAGGGCGCGUAGGCGGCCUUGUCAGUCAGACGUGAAAUCCCCAGGCUUAACCUGGGAACUGCGUCUGAUACUACAAGGCUGGAGUGCGGGAGAGGGAUGUGGAAUUCCAGGUGUAGCGGUGAAAUGCGUAGAUAUCUGGAGGAACACCGGUGGCGAAGGCGGUUCUCUGGGCAUGUCCUGACGCUGAGGAGCGAAAGUGUGGGGAGCGAACAGG
rnacentral:rRNA from 1 species